UGCUAAUCUGCGAUAAGCGUCGGUAAGCUGAUAUGAAGCGUUAUACCCGACGAUACCCGAAUGGGGAAACCCAGUGUGUUUCGACACACUAUCAUUAACUGAAUACAUAGGUUAAUGAGGCGAACCGGGGGAACUGAAACAUCUCAGUACCCCGAGGAAAAGAAAUCAACCGAGAUUCCCCUAGUAGCGGCGAGCGAACGGGGUAUGAGGCGAACCGGGGGAACUGAAACAUCUCAGUACCCCGAGGAAAAGAAAUCAACCGAGAUUCCCCUAGUAGCGGCGAGCGAACGGGGAGGAGCCCAGAACCUGAAUCAGUUUGUGUGUUAGUGGAAGCGUCUGGAAAGUCGCACAGUAAAGGGUGAUAGUCCCGUACACAAAAAUGCACAAGUUGUGAGUUCGAUGAGUAGGGCGGGACACGUGACAUCCUGUCUGAAUAUGGGGGGACCAUCCUCCAAGGCUAAAUACUCCUGACUGACCGAUAGUGAACCAGUACCGUGAGGGAAAGGCGAAAAGAACCCCGGCGAGGGGAGUGAAAUAGAACCUGAAACCGUGUACGUACAAGCAGUGGGAGCCUACUUGUUAGGUGACUGCGUACCUUUUGUAUAAUGGGUCAGCGACUUAUAUUCUGUAGCAAGGUUAACCGUAUAGGGGAGCCGCAGGGAAACCGAGUCUUAACUGGGCGUUAAGUUGCAGGGUAUAGACCCGAAACCCGGUGAUCUAGCCAUGGGCAGGUUGAAGGUUGGGUAACACUAACUGGAGGACCGAACCGACUAAUGUUGAAAAAUUAGCGGAUGACUUGUGGCUGGGGGUGAAAGGCCAAUCAAACCGGGAGAUAGCUGGUUCUCCCCGAAAGCUAUUUAGGUAGCGCCUCGUGAAUUCAUCUUCGGGGGUAGAGCACUGUUUCGGCUAGGGGGUCAUCCCGACUUACCAACCCGAUGCAAACUACGAAUACCGAAGAAUGUUAUCACGGGAGACACACGGCGGGUGCUAACGUUCGUCGUGAAGAGGGAAACAACCCAGACCGCCAGCUAAGGUCCCAAAGUCAUGGUUAAGUGGGAAACGAUGUGGGAAGGCACAGACAGCCAGGAUGUUGGCUUAGAAGCAGCCAUCAUUUAAAGAAAGCGUAAUAGCUCACUGGUCGAGUCGGCCUGCGCGGAAGAUGUAACGGGGCUAAACCAUGCACCGAAGCUGCGGCAGCGACACUUAGGUGUUGUUGGGUAGGGGAGCGUUCUGUAAGCCGUCGAAGGUGGCCUGUGAGGGCUGCUGGAGGUAUCAGAAGUGCGAAUGCUGACAUAAGUAACGAUAAUGCGGGUGAAAAACCCGCACGCCGGAAGACCAAGGGUUCCUGUCCAACGUUAAUCGGGGCAGGGUGAGUCGACCCCUAAGGCGAGGCUGAAAAGCGUAGUCGAUGGGAAACAGGUUAAUAUUCCUGUACUCGGUGUUACUGCGAAGGGGGGACGGAGAAAGCUAGGUUAUCCGGGCGACGGUUGUCCCGGUUUAAGCGUGAAGGUGGAUGACUUUGGUAAAUCCGGGUCGUCAUUAACACUGAGGCGUGAUGACGAGUCACUACGGUGAUGAAGUAACCAAUGCUACGCUUCCAGGAAAAGCCUCUAAGCUCCAGGUAACAUCAAAUCGUACCCCAAACCGACACAGGUGGUCAGGUAGAGAAUACUCAGGCGCUUGAGAGAACUCGGGUGAAGGAACUAGGCAAAAUGGUGCCGUAACUUCGGGAGAAGGCACGCUGAUGGUAGGUGAAGUGACUUGCUCAUGGAGCUGAAAUCAGUCGAAGAUACCAGCUGGCUGCAACUGUUUAAUAAAAACACAGCACUGUGCAAACACGAAAGUGGACGUAUACGGUGUGACGCCUGCCCGGUGCCGGAAGGUUAAUUGAUGGGGUCAGCCGCAAGGCGAAGCUCUUGAUCGAAGCCCCGGUAAACGGCGGCCGUAACUAUAACGGUCCUAAGGUAGCGAAAUUCCUUGUCGGGUAAGUUCCGACCUGCACGAAUGGCGUAAUGAUGGCCAGGCUGUCUCCACCCGAGACUCAGUGAAAUUGAACUCGCUGUGAAGAUGCAGUGUACCCGCGGCAAGACGGAAAGACCCCGUGAACCUUUACUAUAGCUUGACACUGAACCUUGAGCCUUGAUGUGUAGGAUAGGUGGGAGGCUUUGAAGCGUGGACGCCAGUCUGCGUGGAGCCAACCUUGAAAUACCACCCUUUAAUGUUUGAUGUUCUAACGUGGACCCGUAAUCCGGGUUGCGGACAGUGUCUGGUGGGUAGUUUGACUGGGGCGGUCUCCUCCCAAAGCGUAACGGAGGAGCACGAAGGUUAGCUAAUCCUGGUCGGACAUCAGGAGGUUAGUGCAAAGGCAUAAGCUAGCUUGACUGCGAGAGUGACAGCUCGAGCAGGUGCGAAAGCAGGUCUUAGUGAUCCGGUGGUUCUGAAUGGAAGGGCCAUCGCUCAACGGAUAAAAGGUACUCCGGGGAUAACAGGCUGAUACCGCCCAAGAGUUCAUAUCGACGGCGGUGUUUGGCACCUCGAUGUCGGCUCAUCACAUCCUGGGGCUGAAGUAGGUCCCAAGGGUAUGGCUGUUCGCCAUUUAAAGUGGUACGCGAGCUGGGUUUAGAACGUCGUGAGACAGUUCGGUCCCUAUCUGCCGUGGGCGUUGGAAGAUUGAGAGGGGUUGCUCCUAGUACGAGAGGACCGGAGUGAACGCACCACUGGUGUACGGGUUGUGAUGCCAAUUGCAUUGCCCGGUAGCUAAGUGCGGAAGAGAUAACCGCUGAAAGCAUCUAAGCGGGAAACUUGCCUCGAGAUGAGUCUUCCCUGGACACUUGAUGUCCCUGAAGGGCCGUUGAAGACGACGACGUAGAUAGGCUGGGUGUGUAAGCGUAGCGAUACGUUGAGCUAACCAGUACUAAUGACCCGAGAGGCUUAACCUUACAACACCGAAGGUGUUU
rnacentral:rRNA from 1 species